CCUACGGGUGGCAGCAGUGGGGAAUAUUGCACAAUGGGGGAAACCCUGAUGCAGCGACGCCGCGUGAGUGAAGAAGUAAUUCGGUACGUAAAGCUCUAUCAGCAGGGAAGAAAAUGAAGGUACCUGAGUAAGAAGCUCAGGCGAACUACGUGCCAGGAGCCGCGGAAAUACGUAGGGGGACAGCGGUAUUCUGAUUGACUGGGUGUAAAGGGAGCGUGGACGGUGGGGCAAGUCUGUAGUGAAAUACCGCAGCUUAACUGCGGAACUGCGUGGGAAACUGGCGAACUAGAGUACGAGAGGGGUAUGCGGAAUUCCUAGUGUAGCGGUGAAAUGCGUAGAUAUUAGGAGGAACACCGGUGGCGAAGGCGGCUUACUGGACCGUAACUGACGUUGAGGCUCGAAAGCGUGGGGAGCAAACAGGAUUAGAUACCCCAGUAGUC
rnacentral:rRNA from 1 species